CUGGCAUCUUAUGGAGUCGAAUGCAGGGU
rnacentral:piRNA from 1 species